GGCAUUUAGGUUGAUUCCAUGUGUUUGCUAUUGUGAAUAGUCCUGUAAUAAACAUACGGUGCAUGUGUCUUUAUAAUAGAAUGAUUUAUAAUCCUUUGGGUAUAUACUCAGUAA